rnacentral:rRNA from 1 species
GGCCGAACGCUGGCGGCGUGCUUACCACAUGCAAGUCGAACGGAAAGGCCCUGCUUUUGUGGGGUGCUCGAGUGGCGAACGGGUGAGUAACACGUGAGUAACCUGCCCUUGACUUUGGGAUAACUUCAGGAAACUGGGGCUAAUACCGGAUAGGAGCUCCUGCUGCAUGGUGGGGGUUGGAAAGUUUCGGCGGUUGGGGAUGGACUCGCGGCUUAUCAGCUUGUUGGUGGGGUAGUGGCUUACCAAGGCUUUGACGGGUAGCCGGCCUGAGAGGGUGACCGGCCACAUUGGGACUGAGAUACGGCCCAGACUCCUACGGGAGGCAGCAGUGGGGAAUAUUGCACAAUGGGCGGAAGCCUGAUGCAGCAACGCCGCGUGCGGGAUGACGGCCUUCGGGUUGUAAACCGCUUUCGCCUGUGACGAAGCGUGAGUGACGGUAAUGGGUAAAGAAGCACCGGCUAACUACGUG